UGGCAGUUGAUAAGGACGUGUAGAGUCGAGAAGAAUGAUUAAAAAAUAUAUCGAAGUGUUGGCUUUUCGAAUGCGGUUCGGACUAAACAUUUUUUAGGCUACACCUUUCAAAUGUUCCUCUGUUUUCAAAAAAUACUAACCAAUGUACUGUCAAUUUAAUUAAUCGUACAUCGACUCACGAUAUUUCUUGUUUGACAGUUUAGGUACCAGCAUUCUUCUAUCAUUGAACUCUGAGUAGUCACUACAGUAGACUUGGUGCGAAACCGAUCCAUGGUCGAAUAACCGACUCUGCAGAGCGUAUGUGUCGACCGAAUAAUGUAAGCAGCGUGGCGUUACUAUUGUGGCAACUAUUGAGUUGCUUGCCUCGACAGUGCUAUCCAACUGGUAGGAAAUCCGAAAUGUAGACAAAUAAGCGAUAACAAGGCCCAGAAACGGAAAACAUACGCCAAAACGACAUACAUCUAUUAUUCGUUAAAAAAUUGUCUAUGUCGCUAAAUUGCUCACCUUUGCUUGUGAACGUAAAUGAUUUAUUAUAAAUACUCUGGUGUGGCGCCACCGAUCAUAAUAAGGAUGCCUUUUUAACAAAAUUAAAGGUUUUAGUUUUGGGAGAGCUAUUUGAUUGGGAGAAGUUUUAUAAGCAGUCCAAAAGACCGGAGUUAUUGGAUAAACCAAAAUUCGUGGCCUUAUAUGGAACAAGAGAAAUAUAUACAUGCAUGCACACUUUUAUACAUUUCAUUUUCUAGUUGAACAUCUUCRUUGU